rnacentral:rRNA from 1 species
AUUGAACGCUGGCGGCAGGCUUAACACAUGCAAGUCGAACGAGUGGCGGACGGGUGAGUAAUGCUUGGGAAUCUAGCUUAUGGAGGGGGAUAACUACGGGAAACUGUAGCUAAUACCGCGUACCAUAGGAUGAGCCCAAGUGGGAUUAGGUAGUUGGUGAGGUAACGGCUCACCUAGGCCACGAUCCCUAGCCGGUCUGAGAGGAUGACCGGCCAAACUGGAACUGAGACACGGUCCAGACUCCUACGGGAGGCAGUAGUGGGGAAUAGUGCACAAUGGGCGCAAGCCUGAUGCAGCCAGGCCGCGUGUAUGAAGAAGGCCUUCGGGUUGUAAAGUACUUUCAGCGAGGAGGCGUUACUCGCAGAAGAAGCACCGGCUAACUCCGUGCCAGCCGCCGCGGUAAUAC